GACGAACGCUGGCGGCGUGCCUAAUACAUGCAAGUUGAGCGCUUAAGGUUGGUACUUGUACCGACUGGAUGAGCAGCGCACGGGUGAGUAACGCGUGGGGAAUCUGCCUUUGAGCGGGGGACAACAUUUGGAAACGAAUGCUAAUACCGCAUAAAAACUUUAAACACAAGUUUUAAGUUUGAAAGAUGCAAUUGCAUCACUCAAAGAUGAUCCCGCGUUGUAUUAGCUAGUUGGUGAGGUAAAGGCUCACCAAGGCGAUGAUACAUAGCCGACCUGAGAGGGUGAUUGGCCACAUUGGGACUGAGACACGGCCCAAACUCCUACGGGAGGCAGCAGUAGGGAAUCUUCGGCAAGAGACGAAAGUCUGAACGAGCAACGCCGCGGGAGUGAAGAAGGUUGUCGGAUCGUAAAAAUCUGUUGGUAGAGAAGAACGUUGGUGAGAGUGGAAAGCUCAUCAAGUGACGGUAACUACCCAGAAAGGGACGGCUAACUACGUG
rnacentral:rRNA from 1 species